UUCAGUUUUUCAUUUUAUGUUUUUAUUCAUGACUUUUGUAUUGUCAUGUGCUUUAAUUUUGAAGUUUAGUUUAUCUUCCAUAUUCUUGUUUCCUGUAUUGGUUAUUUUUAGCUUCAUGCUCUCUGGAGGAGGCGGCAGUGACAUGUUGUGUUAUUCCUUAUAUGGCGCUGACAGCACCACCCCCUUUAUACAUGGCUGGUAGCGUGUGAUGAAGCUCAUCUCAAGUAAAUGAAGCCUUGUCUCCACUGCCUUUAAAGUGUUCACUGGACCCCGUCCUAACCUGGACCACACUCCCCUCAGCAUUCACAACAAGGACAACAGAUCCCCCCCUUUUCUUUGGACACUUUCCUCAUGGAAAGUAUUUAUCCCCAUUUUUAAUAUUUUAUGUUUUUUUAAUGUUAAAUAGACACCUGGGCCUCUUAUGAUCCUAGUUACACCACUAAACUUGCUAGUAUUACAUUCUGAACACUGAAUGUGUGAAAGAGUGACAGAAUGCAUUAUGAACCUUUGUACUUCUCAGGACCGUCUGGAGGCUGGGGGUCUGGAAUGGGGUCAUACACACUGCAGUCCUUCCCAGUGUAGUCGGAGUCACAGAUACACUUCACCUCAUUACUGCACGUCUAACAUGGAGAGAGGCAGAAAAUAUCUAGAUAAGCCAAAAGCUGGAAAAAAUAUCUUGGCUCACAUUACUAUAGUAAAGCAACACUAUCUGGACUAGCAGUCAAAUUUACAAUGAAAAUUAAAGGGUUAGUUCAC